UUUUUUUUUUUUUUCAUGAAUUUGGCCAUGCUUUCCACUAAUCUUUCGAUUUCUUUUUCUUCCGUUCUCUAACAAUCUAGUCCUAAACUAUUUAUUUAUUUAUUUUAUCAUGAAAUGCUCCCUCAAAAAUCCCAUCUUCUUGCACUGCACUUCAAGUUUUAGAGUGUCGUUUUUUAAUAGAAGAAGAAAAAAAAAAGAAUCAAGUGAGUGGGAGGAAAGAACUUCGGUUGCAUGGUGGGGAUGAGUUAAGUGAAGUGAACUUGGGGUUCUUGGCUUUCUAAGGAUCUUGGAAGCAAUUUAAGCCUAAGUUUUGUAUGAGCAUGAAGUUUCAUGAGUUUCUUUGAGUUUUGGUGAGAAUAUGCACAAUUUGAGGCAAAAGUUCUGAAUUUCAUAAUAGAGUUGUACACUGGCCGGGGAUUGUGUGAAAGUUGAAAUGGUUACUGGGGGUAAUGCCACUCGCGAGAAAGGCUCAAAGUGAUCAGAAAUGCCUGGGCAUGCGGAGAGGGAUAAGAUGUAUAACCGGGCAAUGUGGAAAUCAAAACAACGCUGAUCCACUUUUAAAGGAUGGGAUAACUUUCCAAAAUUGCCCUGAGACAGUUUAUGGAGACUUGCAGCAUAUAUAAGCUUUCUUUUGCGUCGAUUUGAGGCAACUUUUACCUAAUUUCCAUCACUUUUAUCAUCUUUUAGAAGAUCAAGUGAAGAAACUUUGAAGAUUUAUGGAACUUGAAGAGGAAUCCUUAUUUUUUGGUCAUACAACAGAGUUUUUCUCCUUUCUCUUGUUAUUCUGAUUUGGGUUUUCAUAGUUUUCAUUGUUAGGAGGAUUUGUAUGGAUUUUGAAUCUAAUAACUUUGUGAUUGAUUCUUCUACCGUGUUGAACUAAAUUCUUAUUCUGAUUUGGGUUUAUAGUUUUCUUUGUUAGGAAGACUUUUAUUGAUUCUGAAUUAAAUAACUUUGUGAUUGAUUCUUCCA